rnacentral:rRNA from 1 species
GAUGAACGCUGGCGGCGUGCCUAAUACAUGCAAGUAGAACGCUGAAGGAAGGAGCUUGCUCUUUCCGGAUGAGUUGCGAACGGGUGAGUAACGCGUAGGUAACCUGCCUGGUAGCGGGGGAUAACUAUUGGAAACGAUAGCUAAUACCGCAUAACAGUAGAUGUUGCAUGAUAUCUACUUAAAAGGUGCAAUUGCACCACUACCAGAUGGACCUGCGUUGUAUUAGCUAGUUGGUGAGGUAACGGCUCACCAAGGCGACGAUACAUAGCCGACCUGAGAGGGUGAUCGGCCACACUGGGACUGAGACACGGCCCAGACUCCUACGGGAGGCAGCAGUAGGGAAUCUUCGGCAAUGGACGGAAGUCUGGCCGAGCAACGCCGCGUGAGUGAAGAAGGUUUUCGGAUCGUAAAGCUCUGUUGUAAGAGAAGAACGAGUGUGAGAGUGGAAAGUUCACACUGUGACGGUAGCUGACCAGAAAGGGACGGCUAACUACGUG